rnacentral:lncRNA from 1 species
CCCUUAUCAAAUGGUAAAAUCUAAUGAUAAAACACACCAAACGAAUGGAUAACAACUGUCUUAUUUCUUACUCGGUACUGGCAUUUUCAAAUUUUGAAAAUGGUGGAUUGAACCUAGUUUUAUAGCACUUCACCUCUCACGUGUAUGACAGUCUCAUCAAAUCAUGUCAUAUUUACAACGAUGCGUGAAAAAAACAGACAUAAUAGGUAAAAUUGUCAAAAUAUGGGUACAACAGUCUAAUAUUAAUACUAAUCGGUACUAAUAUUGAUAUAACAAAAACACCGCUAUGAUAUUUUAAAAGUAUCGCAUUGAUAUUUUAAAGGUAUCGCAUUGUGUAUUUAUGUAUAUAAGAAAAA